GACGAACGCUGGCGGCGUGCUUAACACAUGCAAGUCGAACGGAAAGGCCCUGCUUUUGUGGGGUGCUCGAGUGGCGAACGGGUGAGUAACACGUGAGUAACCUGCCCUUGACUUUGGGAUAACUUCAGGAAACUGGGGCUAAUACCGGAUAGGAGCUCCUGCUGCAUGGUGGGGGUUGGAAAGUUUCGGCGGUUGGGGAUGGACUCGCGGCUUAUCGGCCUGUUGGUGGGGUAGUGGCUUACCAAGGCUUUGACGGGUAGCCGGCCUGGGAGGGUGACCGGCCACAUGGCGCCUGAGAGAGGGCGCAGUAUGGGAGGGGAGGCAAAGGGGGGAAACUUGACGGAGCGGGGGAGAGCGAGUGACGAAAGCCCGGGGAGCGGAAACCCCUGUUAUUAUUGAAAAACAGUUUUGCCAGUAAAGAAGCGGGGAGUGACGGUAAGGAAUAAGAAAGCCCCGGCUAACUACGUG
rnacentral:rRNA from 1 species